GAAUAUUGGACAAUGGGAGAGAUCCUGAUCCAGCAAUCCCGCGUGAGUGAUGAAGGCCCUCGGGUCGUAAAGCUCUUUCAGCAGGGAAGAAGAUCUGACGGUACCUGCAGAAGAAGCACCGGCUAACUCCGUUCCAGCCGCCGCGGUAAUACGGAGGGUGCAAGCGUUGUUCGGAAUCAUUGGGCGUAAAGCGCGUGUAGGCGGUUUCGUAAGUCUGGUGUGAAAGCCCGGGGCUUAACCCCGGAAGUGCACUGGAUACUGCGAAACUAGAGGACGAGAGAGGGAAGUGGAAUUCCUGGUGUAGGGGUGAAAUCCGUAGAUAUCAGGAGGAACAUCGGUGGCGAAGGCGACUUCCUGGCUCGUAACUGACGCUGAGACGCGAAAGCGUGGGGAGCAAACAGG
rnacentral:rRNA from 1 species